rnacentral:rRNA from 1 species
UACGUAGGGUGCAAGCGUUAAUCGGAAUUACUGGGCGUAAAGCGCACGUAGGCGGCUUUGUAAGUUAGAGGUGAAAGCCCGGAGCUUAACUCCGGAACUGCCUUUAAGACUGCAUCGCUCGAAUCAUGGAGAGGUCAGUGGAAUUCCGAGUGUAGAGGUGAAAUUCGUAGAUAUUCGGAAGAACACCAGUGGCGAAGGCGACUGACUGGACAUGUAUUGACGCUGAGGUGCGAAAGCGUGGGGAGCAAACAGG